UAUCCUUCCUCAGCCUUUAAGACCGAAACCUGGCCGCCGUCUCGGAUAUUUACGCUGUCAAAGCAGAGGAUUUGUUUUGCUGGAAAAGGGUACAGGCGCCGCGGAAAACUAUGCUCUACCAGCCAUGUAUUGGUAGAGCUCGCAUGGAAACGCGGCCCUCAAAGGAACAUGCGCGAUGCGCGUGUGUAUGGUCACCUAAUCCUGAGUUGCUCCAAGGGAAAAGAAGGGACAGGCCAAAAAGGCAAACAACGAGGACAAAUAAGGCUCUCGGGUCUAACUCCGGAUAAACUCACAAACAGCCACUGUUGGGCCGGGU